rnacentral:rRNA from 1 species
GGACUACUCGGGUAUCUAAUCCUGUUUGCUCCCCUAGCUUUCGCGCCUCAGCGUCAGUUAUGGUCCAGUGCGCCGCUUUCGCCACAGGUGUUUCUCCCUAUAUCUACGCAUUUCACCGCUACACCGGGAAUUCCACGCACCUCUCCCAUACUCCAGCACGGCAGUUUCGCCUGCAGACUCCGAGUUAAGCCCGGAGAUUUCACAGGUGACUUACCGCACCGCCUACGCGCCCUUUACGCCCAAUAAUUCCGAACAACGCUUGCACCCUACGUAUUACCGCGGCUGCUGGCAC